GGAGUAAACAGAAGAGAAUGCUGGGAAAAAGAAGCUGAGUCGAGGAGUCGCCAUGAUUCUCCUACUCCAGGCAGACGCAGGUUAAGAUCAUUCCUGGUCACAAGACACAUUCAACAGUGCCAGACAACUUACUCCUCCCAGAAUGGCUUUGACGACUUCCUCACUGCUGGAGACUCCCCAGAGGAGGGUACAGGUCUAGAAGAGACAGAAAAAUACUCAAGACAUGUCAAAUCACAGGCAACAUUCCUAAAGCCCUGUUUCUAAGCUCUCUUCCAGUUUCAAGCCAUACCAGAAAUCACUUUUUAUUUUGGGGAGCGGGGAGAACAGAUGCUGGGGACUGAACCCUGCGCCCAUGUACACUAAGCACACUAUGGUACUGAACUGCUUUCAAUCCUGAAAGAAAUUCUGCUGCUACCUUACUUUGUGAUUUAAGACCUCAUUUACUGCCAGACAUGUACUCAAGGCUUCAAGAAAAUGAGUUAUUUAAAGGACUGAAGGCAGAGCUGAGAAGCCCAACUAUCUCAUGGCAGAAACGUGUAUCUGUGCCAUAAAAAGCAGAAGGCAUCUCAGGAGUGGCUGGUGCCAGCAGGAGCUGACUCACAAAGCAAUCCCACCAACUGGCAGGCUGACUCAAUGGGAACAACUGCAGUAGUAGUCAAUGGAGGUGGGAAGCCACAGAGAACAAGACAAAAAAAAACAACUACAGUGAGGGGGCAGCGACUACGUAACACUUCCUCUCCACCAUAAUCAUUUAGCUUAUGAGUCAAAUGGCCAACAAAAAAAAAACAUAAAAUACCCACAUCAAUAAAUCAAUGAAAAAUAUCAAAUUUAAA